rnacentral:misc_RNA from 1 species
UCUCCGUAGGUGAACCUGCGGAGGGAUCAUUACCGAGAAAAGGCGCUCUGCGUCCGGCCUCCAACCCUUUGUGAACCAAACUUGUUGCUUCGGGGGCGACCCUGCCGCUUCGGCGGUGCGGCGCCCCCGGAGGCCAUUAAACACUGCAUCAUUGCGUCGGAGUUAAAGUAAAUUAAACAAAACUUUCAACAACGGAUCUCUUGGUUCCAGCAUCGAUGAAGAACGCAGC